AUUAAUACCGCAUGUGGUGCUAACACUAAAGCAGCAAUGCGCUUCAGGAUGGGCUCGCGGCCUAUCCUCUUGUUGGUAAGGUAACGGCUUACCAAGGCAAUGACGGGUAACUGGUUUGAGAGGAUGAUCAGUCACACUGGAACUGAGACACGGUCCAGACACCUACGGGUGGCAGCAGUCGAGAAUCAUUCGCAAUGGGGGAAACCCUGACGGUGCGACGCCGCGUGGAGGAUGACGGCCUUCGGGUUGUAAACUCCUGUCAUGAGGGAGCAAAGCUCUUCGGAGCCUGAUAGUACCUCAAGAGGAAGGAACGGCAAACUCUGUGCCAGCAACCGCGGUAAUACAGAGGUUCCAAGCGUUGUUCGGAUUCAUUGGGCCUAAAGGGUGCGUAGGCGGCGUGGUAAGUCAAAUGAGAAAUUACGGAGCUCAACUCCGUACUGCAUUCGAUACUGCCAUGCUAGAGGACUGGAGAGGAGACUGGAAUUCACGGUGUAGCAGUGAAAUGCGUAGAUAUCGUGAGGAAGACCAGUGGCGAAGGCGAGUCUCUGGACAGCUCCUGACGCUGAGGCACGAUAGGCCAGGGUAGCGAACGGGAUUAGAUACCCCGGUAGUCCUGGCAGUAAACGUUGCACGUUUGGUGUGGGAGGAUUCGACUCCUUCCGUGCCGGAGCUAACGCGUUAAACGUGCCGCCUGGGGAGUACGGUCGCAAGAUUAAAACUCAAAGAAAUUGACGGGGGCCCGCACAAGCGGUGGAGUAUGUGGCUUAAUUCGAUGCAACGCGAAGAACCUUACCCAGCCUUGACAUGCAUUUCUAAACCGGUGAAAGCCGGCGAGUCUUCGGACAACUUGCACAGGUGCUGCAUGGCUGUCGUCAGCUCGUGUCGUGAGAUGUUGGGUUAAGUCCCGCAACGAGCGCAACCCCUGUGAACUGUUGCUAUCCUUUUGGAGCACUCUGUUCAGACUGCCCUGUCAAACGGGGAGGAAGGUGGGGGCGACGUCAAGUCUGUAUGGCCCUUAUGGCUGGGGCUGCACACGUACUACAAUGCGCAGUUCAAUGUGAGCCGAAACCGCGAGGUG
rnacentral:rRNA from 1 species